rnacentral:lncRNA from 1 species
UUUUUUUUCCCCUCUCUGACAGCAGCAGGUGAACGGAAUGGAAAGUUCGCAGGUUCCAUCGCCUCCUAGUCAUCUGUCAGCCGAGUCUUCAACAGCUGUCUGGCCAGUCUUCUGAAUCUGUGGUAGCGCCGUCUGUUUCACCGGUUUGUAAAUGUUCUAGAAAUUUUUUGCACUUGGUACGUAUAUUUAGAACGGUAAUUAACUCAUGUACUGUCGCGCAACUUGAGUUAGGAGCGUGUGAAGAACUUAUGUGUUCUUAUGAACGGAGUACUGAGUACUCUUUCCCGUUUUAAUGUGUUACUAGUGAAAGACGUUAACUCAUUUAGUGUCCGCUAAUUCAAUAUUAUUUAAGAUAAUCAUGAUCACUUACCUACAUUCUUCUAUAUUUUUCAACCAACGGCGCGCAAUGACGGCCCUGCCGACGUGAAUAAUUUAGUAGUUUACUUUACGAUGCGUUUGACUUUUAAGCUCAGGUUAGUAAAAUUUUACUUGGCGCCUCGAUGAUGUACUUAUUAUGGAUGAUUUAGUACUCAUUUACCCGAAAGAAUGAAAGUGGGUAUCCAUGAACCUUAUGACGCUCAUUGAAAUUUUUAGCAUGCGGUUUUCUCAUUUCGAUUUCGAUUACGAUAUAAUUUUUAUAUAUCAAGUUAAAUAGUUUUUUUAAGGAAUUUAUGUGAUAUUGCGAAUUGGUAUUUUGAGCGGCAGCCCCCACUAAUAAACAAUAUCAUUUGACUUUCCAAAAAUUAAAGGAAAAAGAAAAAGAAAAGUGAAAAAGCCGCUUGGCCCAAUAAGAAAUUGGCCAGGGGACUCAAUCAAGGCCGAAUGGGCCAAUAAACGGGUAUUCUCAGAGCCCGUCCUUCUUGUCGGACAAGUCUAUUUUUGGCAUGUCUCAGUUUUUAACCCGAAAUCGAAAGUUUUCGUUUCGGGAGGAGAUUAAUCAUACAAUCAAGCUUUGUUCAACGCUGUGGCGUUACGCUUUUAGGCAUAUCACUAUUACAAUUACACACCCACGUUGUACGUGCCCCAUUACAAUUACACACCCACGUUGUAUGUGCCCCUGGUUGCGGCCCCGAUAAUUAACGCAGUGCUUAUCUUCGGAGGGGACCGUUUAAAUUGUAGGCUCGUUACAUUACAGAGGACCAUUAUGGGCCUUAAUAUCUGAAACUAUUACCGUACCAGGCAUUAAAGGACCAUUACUGACCCACAGCAUCACAACAACAGCUAAAAGUUGAACAGAUACAAGCAGAUACCAGGAGCUAUACCGUCAUAUACAAUUGACGUUCCAACACAAACUGGGAAAACUCCUCAAUCAGAAAACAGAGAGACAAAACAACUUCAGUGGAUCCCCAAAAAACUGCUAUGCCUCCACUUAUUAUUAGUCCUGAGAUAACUUUCUGAAGAACGAAGCACCCCCCCCCUAAAGCAUAGCUAAGAGCGCGAUUCGGCCUUUAUUCUUUCAUUUCCUCCUAUACUAACAACUAAUAUGAAAAUAUAACUUAAACAGAGCUUUAAAAAGAAAACUAAUAGUUGUAACCCUUUACGUGAAGACUCUCAGAUGCACCUUCUGUAGCGGCGUCUCCCUUGUGUGCCCCGAGGGUCGCCUCCGAAUUCGCCUUGCACCUGGAAAGAAAA